rnacentral:misc_RNA from 1 species
GUGAGUCAUCGAAUCUUUGAACGCAUAUUGCGCUCUUUGGUAUUCCGAAGAGCAUGCUUGUUUGAGUAUCAGUAAACACCUCAAAGCUUUUGGAUUUUUUUUGAAAGUUUUGGACUUGAGCAAUCCCAACACCAAUCUUUUUCAGAUCGGCGGCGGGUUGCUUGAAAUGCAGGUGCAGCUGGACAUUCUCCUGAGCUAAAAGCAUAUUCAUUUAGUCCCGUCAAACGGAUUAUUACUUUUGCUGCAGCUAACAUAAAGGGAGUUUGACCGCAUUGGCUGACUGAUGCAGGAUUUUACAAGGGUCGGCAACGAUUCUUGUUAAACUCGAUCUCAAAUCAAGUAAGACUACCCGCUGAACUUAAGCAUAUCAAUAAGCGGAGGA